rnacentral:rRNA from 1 species
GAUGAACGCUGGCGGCGUGCCUAAUACAUGCAAGUCGAGCGAACGGACGAGAAGCUUGCUUUUCUGAUGUUAGCGGCGGACGGGUGAGUAACACGUGGAUAACCUACCUAUAAGACUGGGAUAACUUCGGGAAACCGGAGCUAAUACCGGAUAAUAUUUUGAACCGCAUGGUUCAAAAGUGAAAGACGGUCUUGCUGUCACUUAUAGAUGGAUCCGCGCUGCAUUAGCUAGUUGGUAAGGUAACGGCUUACCAAGGCAACGAUGCAUAGCCGACCUGAGAGGGUGAGCGGCCACACUGGAACUGAGACACGGUCCAGACUCCUACGGGAGGCAGCAGUAGGGAAUCUUCCGCAAUGGGCGAAAGCCUGACGGAGCAACGCCGCGUGAGUGAUGAAGGUCUUUGGAUCGUAAAACUCGGUUAUUAGGGAAGAACAUAUGUGUAAGUAACUGUGCACAUCUUGACGGUACCUAAUCAGAAAGCCACGGCUAACUACGUG